GAUGAACGCUGGCGGCGUGCCUAAUACAUGCAAGUCGAGCGAACGGACGAGAAGCUUGCUUCUCUGAUGUUAGCGGCGGACGGGUGAGUAACACGUGGAUAACCUACCUAUAAGACUGGGAUAACUUCGGGAAACCGGAGCUAAUACCGGAUAAUAUUUUGAACCGCAUGGUUCAAAAGUGAGAGACGGUCUUGCUGUCACUUAUAGAUGGAUCCGCGCUGCAUUAGCUAGUUGGUAAGGUAACGGCUUACCAAGGCAACGAUGCAUAGCCGACCUGAGAGGGUGAUCGGCCACACUGGAACUGAGACACGGUCCAGACUCCUACGGGAGGCAGCAGUAGGGAAUCUUCCGCAAUGGGCGAAAGCCUGACGGAGCAACGCCGCGUGAGUGACGAAGGUCUUCGGAUCGUAAAACUCUGUUAUUAGGGAAGAACAUAUGUGUAAGUAACUGUGCACAUCUUGACGGUACCUAAUCAGAAAGCCACGGCUAACUACGUGCCAGCAGCCGCGGUAAUACGUAGGUGGCAAGCGUUAUCCGGAAUUAUUGGGCGUAAAGCGCGCGUAGGCGGUUUUUUAGUCUGAUGUGAAAGCCCACGGCUCAACCGUAGAGGGUCAUUGGAAACUGGAAAACUUGAGUGCAGAAGAGGAAAGUGGAAUUCCAUGUGUAGCGGUGAAAUGCGCAGAGAUAUGGAGGAACACCAGUGGCGAAGGCGACUUUCUGGUCUGUAACUGACGCUGAUGUGCGAAAGCGUGGGGAUCAAACAGGAUUAGAUACCCUGGUAGUCCACGCCGUAAACGAUGAGUGCUAAGUGUUAGGGGGUUUCCGCCCCUUAGUGCUGCAGCUAACGCAUUAAGCACUCCGCCUGGGGAGUACGACCGCAAGGUUGAAACUCAAAGGAAUUGACGGGGACCCGCACAAGCGGUGGAGCAUGUGGUUUAAUUCGAAGCAACGCGAAGAACCUUACCAAAUCUUGACAUCCUUUGACAACUCUAGAGAUAGAGCUUUCCCCUUCGGGGGACAAAGUGACAGGUGGUGCAUGGUUGUCGUCAGCUCGUGUCGUGAGAUGUUGGGUUAAGUCCCGCAACGAGCGCAACCCUUAAGCUUAGUUGCCAUCAUUAAGUUGGGCACUCUAAGUUGACUGCCGGUGACAAACCGGAGGAAGGUGGGGAUGACGUCAAAUCAUCAUGCCCCUUAUGAUUUGGGCUACACACGUGCUACAAUGGACAAUACAAAGGGCAGCGAAACCGUGAGGUCAAGCAAAUCCCAUAAAGUUGUUCUCAGUUCGGAUUGUAGUCUGCAACUCGACUACAUGAAGCUGGAAUCGCUAGUAAUCGUAGAUCAGCAUGCUACGGUGAAUACGUUCCCGGGUCU
rnacentral:rRNA from 1 species